rnacentral:rRNA from 1 species
GUGCCAGCAGCCGCGGUAAUACGUAGGGUGCGAGCGUUGUCCGGAAUUAUUGGGCGUAAAGAGCUCGUAGGCGGUUUGUCGCGUCGGCCGUGGAAACCGAGGGCUUAACUCUCGGCGUGCGGUCGAUACGGGCAGACUUGAGUUCGGCAGGGGAGACUGGAAUUCCUGGUGUAGCGGUGGAAUGCGCAGAUAUCAGGAGGAACACCGGUGGCGAAGGCGGGUCUCUGGGCCGAUACUGACGCUGAGGAGCGAAAGCGUGGGGAGCGAACAGGAUUAGAUACCCUGGUAGUCC